CCUGCCCAAGAGAUCGGGAUAACACCUGGAAACAGAUGCUAAUACCGGAUAACAACAGAUGAUGCCUAUCAACUGUUUAAAAGAUGGUUAUGCUAUCACUCUUGGAUGGACCUGCGGUGCAUUAGCUAGUUGGUAGGGUAACGGCCUACCAAGGCGAUGAUGCAUAGCCGAGUUGAGAGACUGAUCGGCCACAUUGGGACUGAGACACGGCCCAAACUCCUACGGGAGGCAGCAGAC
rnacentral:rRNA from 1 species